AAAGCGUAAUAGCUCACUGGUCGAGUCGGCCUGCGCGGAAGAUGUAACGGGGCUAAACCAUGCACCGAAGCUGCGGCAGCGACGCUUAUGCGUUGUUGGGUAGGGGAGCGUUCUGUAAGCCUGUGAAGGUGUGCUGUGAGGCAUGCUGGAGGUAUCAGAAGUGCGAAUGCUGACAUAAGUAACGAUAAAGCGGGUGAAAAGCCCGCUCGCCGGAAGACCAAGGGUUCCUGUCCAACGUUAAUCGGGGCAGGGUGAGUCGACCCCUAAGGCGAGGCCGAAAGGCGUAGUCGAUGGGAAACAGGUUAAUAUUCCUGUACUUGGUGUUACUGCGAAGGGGGGACGGAGAAGGCUAUGUUGGCCGGGCGACGGUUGUCCCGGUUUAAGCGUGUAGGCUGGUUUUCCAGGCAAAUCCGGAAAAUCAAGGCUGAGGCGUGAUGACGAGGCACUACGGUGCUGAAGCAACAAAUGCCCUGCUUCCAGGAAAAGCCUCUAAGCAUCAGGUAACAUCAAAUCGUACCCCAAACCGACACAGGUGGUCAGGUAGAGAAUACCAAGGCGCUUGAGAGAACUCGGGUGAAGGAACUAGGCAAAAUGGUGCCGUAACUUCGGGAGAA
rnacentral:rRNA from 1 species